GAUGAACGCUAGCUACAGGCUUAACACAUGCAAGUCGAGGGGUAACAAGAGGAAAGCUUGCUUUUCUUGUUGACGACCGGCCCACGGGUGAGUAACGCGUAUCCAACCUGCCUAUAACUAGGGAAUAACCUUGCGAAAGUAAGACUAAUACCCUAUGAUUUCCUUUGAUGACAUCAGAUUAGGAAUAAAGAUUUAUCGGUUAUAGAUGGGGAUGCGUCUGAUUAGCUUGUUGGCGGGGUAACGGCCCACCAAGGCAACGAUCAGUAGGGGUUCUGAGAGGAAGGUCCCCCACAUUGGAACUGAGACACGGUCCAAACUCCUACGGGAGGCAGCAGUGAGGAAUAUUGGUCAAUGGGCGGAAGCUUGAACCAGCCAAGUAGCGUGCAGGAUGACGGCCCUAUGGGUUGUAAACUGCUUUUAUACAGGAAUAAAGUUAGCCACGUGUGGUUAUUUGUAGGUACUGUAUGAAUAAGGACCGGCUAAUUCCGUGCCAGCCGCCGCGGUAA
rnacentral:rRNA from 1 species